rnacentral:lncRNA from 1 species
CCUCUGAGUCAGCCCCGAACUUCUUCUCCUUCUUCCCCGGUGCCGGGGAGGGGGAGGAGGAGCGGUGACUCAAGGCGACAACAACAAUAAUAAUACGGCGCUGCGGCACUUGUCACGGGGAAGGGGCUCGGACGGGGUCCCCCCCGCGCGUCCCCGCCGGUGGGGACGCGCGGGGUCCCCCCCCGUCGGAGCCCGGUGGGUGCCGCUGCGGCGAGCGGCUGGGGCCGGGUCACCUUAGGACAGGGCGCACCGGGGCGCGUCCCGGCGGGGCGCACGGGGUGGAGAGGGGGGGGGGGGGGGCGCACGGCUCGGGGGGGGGGGAGCCGGGGAGGCGCCUCCGGUUCGCAGCAUCUGGGGCUGGAGGGAGCCGAGCGGGGCCGGCUGCCGUCGCCUAAAAUGGCUGUUGGGUUCCUGCGGGCUGGCGGAGGGAGCUGCGGCGUCCCCAAAUAAGAGGCGGGUGCGGGUGCGGGUGCGGGUGCCGGCGGCGCGCAUCACCGCAGGUAACCUACUUCCACCGCCUCUGCCGCCGGCGAGCGUGACUCCUCCGUGCGGGCUGGGGCGAGCGAUUCCCCCGCUCGCCGCCGUCACCGGGAUAAGGUCAGCCCCGGCGAUAAAUAGGGAGGGAGGCAGGAGGGAGGGCGGCGAGUCCCUCCCCGCGCCUCGGCGGCGAGCGCGGGCAGCCCCGGCCGGCUGCGAGCUGCGGGGCUGCGGCCCCCUCUCCCCCCCCCCACAUCACCACCACCACCACCACCACCACCGCUGCCACCCCCGGCCCCCCCAGCAGCCGUCCCCGCCGAGGGGAUGCCCCGCGGGGUCCCCCCCGCAGCCGGCGGUGCGGGAGCGCGGUGACGGUGGCGGUGGCCGUGGCCUAGCGCGGGGACGGACGCGGCCCCGGCCCGCGGGUAAGAGCGGGGAGCCGGCGGGGGGGACCCGGCGGUGGGGUUUGGGGAGAGGUGGGGGGGUUGGAGAGGGGGGGGGACCCGGUGCCGCCGGCUUCUCCCCGGCUUUGUUCCGCGUCCCCCCCCGCCCUGCGGGUGCCGAGGGUUUUGUACGCAGCCCAACUAUUUUUAGUGCGCUUGGAGACCAUGUUUGCUGGAAGCGAAUCAAAGCCUGCGAGCUUGGAGAUUUUUCAGCGCGAGGCUGCGCACAGCGCGGGCUGCGGGCAUGGGGGUGCCCGAGCUGGGGGGCUGGGGGGCUCCGGGGGGGGGGGGGGGGGGGGGGGGG